ensembl:lncRNA
CCUGAACGCCUCAUACUCUUCCAAAGGGUUUAAUAAGUAACCCACGAGGAAGUUCACAUCAUUAUAUGUAAAACGAUCAAACGUAAAGAAGCAAAUGAUCUCGUGACGCUGACGCUUCAUUGCAGAAGAUAUCGUUCCGCGCCACAAUGGACGGAUGCACUUGUAGAAAGUAAUCACGCAAGAGGGGAAUGAAGAAAUACCACGAGUGUUUUUAUUUUUCAAAAAAGAUACACUGAGAGCAGUAACGUAUGAUUUACUUUUAUUUAUUUAUUUCGUUGAAGAAUCCGCCUUCAAUUUUGAAACACUUUGCUGCAAUGAAUGUUUUACCAACCAUCUUUAUGUUUGUUACUUUAUCCAUGUUUGUUAUAGAACCGUCUCUUUAUACGUGUUUGUUAUAGAACCGUCUCUUUAUACGUGUUUGUUAUAGAACCGUCUCUUUAUACGUGUUUGUUAUAGAACCGUCUCUUUGUUCAUGUU